GUGAGGAAUUUUCCGCAAUGGGCGAAAGCCUGACGGAGCAAUGCCGCGUGAAGGAUGAAGGCCUAUGGGUUGUAAACUUCUUUUCUCAGAAAAGAAUUAUGACGGUAUCUGAGGAAUAAGCAUCGGCUAACUCUGUGCCAGCAGCCGCGGUAAGACAGAGGAUGCAAGCGUUAUCCGGAAUGAUUGGGCGUAAAGCGUCUGUAGGUUGUUUAAAAAGUAUUCUGUCAAAGAUUAGGGCUUAACCCUAGAUAGGCAGAAUAAACUUUUAAGCUAGAGUUUGGUAGAGGCAGAGGGAAUUCCCGGUGGAGCGGUGAAAUGCGUAGAUAUCGGGAGGAACACCAAAGGCGAAGGCACUCUGCUGGGCCAAUACUAACACUGAGAGAUGAAAGCGAGGGGAGCAAAUGGGAUUAGAUACCCCGGUAGUCC
rnacentral:rRNA from 1 species